UACGGGGGGAGCAAGCGUUGUUCGGAUUUACUGGGCGUAAAGGGCGCGUAGGCGGCCACCGCAAGUCGACUGUGAAAUCUCCGGGCUUAACCCGGAAAGGUCAGCCGAUACUGCGGGGCUAGAGUGCAGAAGGGGCAACUGGAAUUCUCGGUGUAGCGGUGAAAUGCGCAGAUAUCAGGAAGAACACCCGUGGCUAAGGCGGCUCUCUAGUACGGUACUGACGCUGAGACGCGAAAGCGUGGGGAGCGAACAGG
rnacentral:rRNA from 1 species